UGCUGUCUGCAGUGCCCAGCCAGUGUCCUAAGCUCUUUGUCCUCCAGCUUCAGUGAAGAUGGGCCCCUGGCUUUGCUUUGUUUUCAUGGCAGCAGCUCUACAAGGUGCCUGGUCCCAGGUCCAGCUGGUGGAGUCUGGAGGGGAUGUGAGGAAGCCUGGAAACUCUCUGCGCCUCUCCUGCAAAGCCUCUGGGUUCACCUUCAGUAGCUACAGCAUGCAGUGGGUCCGCCAGGCUCCUGGGAAGGGGCUGGACUGGGUGGCUGAAAUUAACAGUGGUGGAUCCAGCCAGUGGUACUCCCCGGCUGUUCAGGGGCGAUUCACCAUCUCCAGAGACAACUCCCAGAACAUGUUGUACCUGCAAAUGAACAGCCUCAAACCCGAGGACACAGCCCUGUAUUACUGUGCCAGAGACACAGGAGCCAUCGCAGAAGCAGGACCGGUGCGUGUCCAGCUCAGCCUGGGAGAGUCAGCCUCUGGGUUCACCUUCAGCAAUUACUGGCUGGGCUGGGUCCGUCAGGCUCCCGGGAAGGGCCUUGAAUGGAUCUCUGCCAUUGACACCUCUGGCAGCAGCACCUAUUACAUCCCUGGAGUGAGUGGGCGCUUCACCAUCUCCAGGGACAAUGCCAGGGCCCUGCUGCACCUGGACAUGAGUGACCUGAGGCCCGAGGACACCGGCCGAUAUCACUGCGAGAGACUCACUGUGCGGGAAGCCCAGGCAAAAACCUUUCUCUGA